CGCUUACAAAUCCUAUUCCGCUAAAACUCUCAGCUCGAGAGAAACCGUCAUUGGAAACCCUAAAUUAUCUAAAUCUCAACAACCCCCCCUCAGCAAAUCCGAAAUCGCCAUUGAUGCUCAGGUUUGUCCGUUUCUCUGUUUCUUUGAUGUUCUUCUUAUUUUUUUAUAGUAAAUUUCUUGUUCAUGAUUAAUGUGAGUUGUCUGUUUUAAUUUCUUGUUGUUGAUAAAAUUAUGAUUACUCUGGUUAAUCGGCGACUGACAAUGUCGUGCGGAGACUGCCGAACCCUUCUCAAUCCGUUGAAGAAGUUCAAGAACAUGCCGAUGUCACCUCUCACUCCAAUUUCUCCGAAUUCACUGAACCUGUUGUCAAUCUCGUCUGUUCUUCUUGCGGCAAACCGUGAAUUUCUGUCUCAUUUUCUUUCAUUUUCUGUGUGUUUUUAUUAGGGUUUUGCAAUUUCUGAAUUUGAUCCCCUUUAGCAAUUCAAUCAGGAGAGAGAUUUUCAUACUAAAAGAACAGGCCACACUGAAUUUACGGAUAAGACUUCUGAAGUCACCAAACCUAUUAAUUUUGAAUCACCUAAUUCUUCCAAUUCUGCUCCUAUGGAUGUUGAUGCUCAAUCUCAAGAAAUGGUUGUCCCUGAGGUUGAUCAAAAUCUGGUUCGGGAACUUGAAGGGAAUGGGAUUCUCCACAGCACGGGCUACCCGAGCACUUUAUUGCUCAGAUUUCAGUCAAAGCAAUAGUGUUGCUGAGUGCAGAUCUUUCUAGAGACGUAGUUCCUUCGUUUUCUAGGAUCCUUCUGCGUACUUCAUUGGGAAAGAAACAUUUGGUACAGCCGCUGCUGCGGACUGAAAUUACACAAGUGGUAAAUAGGCGUGCAUGGUAUGAUGCCACCAAACUGACAACAUAAGUCUUAAACCUAUACAAGCAAGUGCAAUGGAGGAUAUUCGGCAUCUACAAAUUUGCAAAUAAAGAGAAGGCUAGAGUUUCAUAGAGAAUGUUCUGUGUAGAAUUAUACCUGCCAAAUUGUCUCAGUUGCGGGGAAGACCAUUAGCGAUUCUUCAUUUCAGAUUCAAUGUCAUGGCUGUGGUGUUUAUCCAAGGUAUGCUUCUGAUUUGGAAAGGGUUUGGCAAGAUACAUGUUUUGUUGCAUUUCUAGAUGAAACUGUUUCAGAAGAACAUCUGUAAGAUUUUGAUAUUUGAACAGAGAAAUGUGAAAGAUAGCCAUGAAGAUUCUUUUAUAAGAGAAAAGAGGAUCAUCGGCCAAUCAGCCCCACUGUUUACUCUGCAAAAAUUCAAAACAGCUGAUCUAGAAAAGAUAAGACAAUUGCAGACAUCGUCUUCAAGGAAGUUCCAUUCUUAUGAUUUGCCUAAACCAGGUGAUACGAGUAGGAUUUCUGCUAGAUCUGAGAAUCGUGUUUUAAGCACCAAGCCAAAUCAUGUGCUUGCUGAAAAUUUAUAUCAUUCACCCUCUCUGGUGCCGAACACGUAUGAAAAGCUUGUACGAACUGAAAUGCAUAACUCUCAUGCAUAAAGAUGAGGUUGCUAGAGAGGAGACAGAGUUGGGAUUCUAUAUUGAUUUGACGCCAUGUUGUUAUUUAUUGAUUGUAUUCUUUGUUAGAUAAUUUUUUGCAAAGUAUUAGGUUUUAUAUUGGAGGGAGUUUUGAUGUAAGCAUACCCAUGUAACUGAUAUUUUUUUAUUCAUAUUUUUUGAAAUAUAACGAGUUAACGUGAAAA